UGGGCGCACGGGUGCGUAACGCGUAGGUAAUCUGCCCUGAGGUCUGACAUAACCCGUCGAAAGGCGGGCUAACAUCAGAUGAUAUAUAAUCACAACAUCGUGGAAAUAUCAAAUCUUCGGAGCCUUGGGAUGAGCCUGCGUCUGAUUAGGUAGUUGGCGGAGUAAUAGCCCACCAAGCCUACGAUCAGUAGCUGGUCUGAAAGGAAUGAUCAGCCACACUGGAACUGAGACACGGUCCAGACUCCUACGGGAGGCAGCAGUAAGGAAUAUUGCUCAAUGGGGGGAAACCCUGAAGCAGCAACGCCGCGUGAAGGAUGAAAUACUUUUGUAUGUAAACUUCUGUAAGAUGGGAAAAAUAUUCUCCUCGGGAGAAUUGAUUGUACCAUCAGAGUAAGCCCCGGCUAACUACGUG
rnacentral:rRNA from 1 species